rnacentral:rRNA from 1 species
AGUGAACGCUGGCGGCAGGCCUAACACAUGCAAGUCGAGCGGCAGCGCGGGGGCAACCCUGGCGGCGAGCGGCGGACGGGUGAGGAAUUCGUCGGAAUCUGCCUUUUUGUGGGGGAUAACGUAGGGAAACUUACGCUAAUACCGCAUACGUCCUACGGGAGAAAGUGGGGGACCGCAAGGCCUCACGCAGAAAGAUGAGCCGACGACCGAUUAGCUAGUUGGUGGGAUAAAGGCCCACCAAGGCGACGAUCGGUAGCUGGUCUGAGAGGAUGAUCAGCCACACUGGGACUGAGACACGGCCCAGACUCCUACGGGAGGCAGCAGUGGGGAAUAUUGGACAAUGGGCGCAAGCCUGAUCCAGCCAUGCCGCGUGUGUGAAGAAGGCCUUCGGGUUGUAAAGCACUUUUGUCCGGAAAGAAAUCCCUGGAGCUAAUACCUUCGGGGGAUGACGGUACCGGAAGAAUAAGCACCGGCUAACUUCGUG